GGGCGUGUGGCGGAAUUGGUAGACGCAGUAGACUCAAAAUCUACCGAUAGCAAUAUCAUGGGAGUUCGAUUCUCCCCAUGCCCACCA
rnacentral:tRNA from 1 species